AAAGACUUAGCUUAAUAAAAGCAACUGAUUUGCGUUCAGUAGAUAUAGAGUAGUAAGUCUGUAGUCUUUA
rnacentral:tRNA from 1 species